rnacentral:rRNA from 1 species
CGGCGUGCCUAAUACAUGCAAGGUCGAACGCUUCUUUCCUCCCGAGUGCUUGCACUCAACUGGAAAGAGGAGUGGCGGACGGGUGAGUAACACGUGGGUAACCUACCCAUCAGAGGGGGAUAACACUUGGAAACAGGUGCUAAUACCGCAUAACAGUUUAUGCCGCAUGGCAUAAGAGUGAAAGGCGCUUUCGGGUGUCGCUGAUGGAUGGACCCGCGGUGCAUUAGCCAGUUGGUGAGGUAACGGCUCACCAAGGCCACGAUGCAUAGCCGACCUGAGAGGGUGAUCGGCCACACUGGGACUGAGACACGGCCCAGACUCCUACGGGAGGCAGCAGUAGGGAAUCUUCGGCAAUGGACGAAAGUCUGACCGAGCAACGCCGCGUGAGUGAAGAAGGUUUUCGGAUCGUAAAACUCUGUUGUUAGAGAAGAACAAGGACGUUAGUAACUGAACGUCCCCUGACGGUAUCUAACCAGAAAGCCACGGCUAACUACGUGCCAGCAGCCGCGGUAAUACGUAGGUGGCAAGCGUUGUCCGGAUUUAUUGGGCGUAAAGCGAGCGCAGGCGGUUUCUUAAGUCUGAUGUGAAAGCCCCCGGCUCAACCGGGGAGGGUCAUUGGAAACUGGGAGACUUGAGUGCAGAAGAGGAGAGUGGAAUUCCAUGUGUAGCGGUGAAAUGCGUAGAUAUAUGGAGGAACACCAGUGGCGAAGGCGGCUCUCUGGUCUGUAACUGACGCUGAGGCUCGAAAGCGUGGGGAGCAAACAGG